AAUGAACGUUGGCGGCGUGGAUUAGGCAUGCAAGUCGAGCGCGAACCCGCAAGGGGGAGAGCGGCGAACGGCGUAGUAAUGGAUCGGAACGUACCCUUCGGACGGGGAUAGCUACGGGAAACUGUAGGUAAUACCCGAUAACAUCUGCGGAUCAAAGGUGAGAUUCCGCCGGAGGAGCGGCUGAUUUGAUAUUAGCUAGUUGGUGGGGUAAAGGCCUACCAAGGCGAUGAUGUCUAGGGGGUGCGAGAGCAUGGCCCCCACGACCGGAACUGAGAUACUGUCCGGACACCUACGGGUGGCUGCAGUCGAGAAUCUUCCGCAAUGGACGAAAGUCUGACGGAGCGACGCCGCGUGCGGGAUGAAGGCCCUUGGGUUGUAAACCGCUGUCAGAGGGGAUGAAAUCUUCGGAGGUACUCCUCCGAAGUUGACAGAGCCUCAAAGGAAGCACGGGCUAAGUACGUGCCAGCAGCCGCGGUAA
rnacentral:rRNA from 1 species